UGCAGUCGACGGCAGCACGGGUGCUUGCACCUGGUGGCGAGUGGCGAACGGGYGAKUAAUACAUCGGAACAUGUCCUGUAGUGGGGGAUAGCCCGGCGAAAGCCGGAUUAAUACCGCAUACGAUCYAYGGAUGAAAGCGGGGGACCUUCGGGCCUCGCGCUAUAGGGUUGGCCGAUGGCUGAUUAGCUAGUUGGUGGGGUAAAGGCCUACCAAGGCGACGAUCAGUAGCUGGUCUGAGAGGACGACCAGCCACACUGGGACUGAGACACGGCCCAGACUCCUACGGGAGGCAGCAGUGGGGAAUUUUGGACAAUGGGCGAAAGCCUGAUCCAGCAAUGCCGCGUGUGUGAAGAAGGCCUUCGGGUUGUAAAGCACUUUUGUCCGGAAAGAAAUCCUUGGUUCUAAUAUAGCCGGGGGAUGACGGUACCGGAAGAAUAAGCACCGGCUAACUACGUGCCAGCAGCCGCGGUAAUACGUAGGGUGCGAGCGUUAAUCGGAAUUACUGGGCGUAAAGCGUGCGCAGGCGGUUUGCUAAGACCGAUGUGAAAUCCCCGGGCUCAACCUGGGAACUGCAUUGGUGACUGGCAGGCUAGAGUAUGGCAGAGGGGGGUAGAAUUCCACGUGUAGCAGUGAAAUGCGUAGAGAUGU
rnacentral:rRNA from 1 species